GAUGAACGCUAGCGGCAGGCCUAACACAUGCAAGUCGAGGGGCAGCAUAAAACAAGCUUGCUUGUUUGGUGGCGACCGGCGCACGGGUGCGUAACGCGUAUGCAACCUACCCUGUACUGGGGGAUAGCCCGGAGAAAUUCGGAUUAAGACCCCAUAGCACUUAAGAAUGGCAUCAUUCAUAAGUUAAAGGUUACGGUACAGGAUGGGCAUGCGUCCCAUUAGCUAGAUGGUAAGGUAACGGCUUACCAUGGCAACGAUGGGUAGGGGGCCUGAGAGGGUGGUCCCCCACACUGGUACUGAGACACGGACCAGACUCCUACGGGAGGCAGCAGUGAGGAAUAUUGGUCAAUGGGCGCAAGCCUGAACCAGCCAUGCCGCGUGCAGGAAGACGGUCCUAUGGAUUGUAAACUGCUUUUAUUGGGAAUAAACCUAUUUACGUGUAGAUAGCUGAAGGUACCAAAUGAAUAAGCACCGGCUAACUCCGUG
rnacentral:rRNA from 1 species